UACGUAGGGGGGCUAGCGUUGUCCGGAAUCAUUGGGCGUAAAGCGCGCGUAGGCGGCCCGGUAAGUCCGCUGUAAAAGUCAAAGGCUCAACCUUUGAAUGUCAGUGGAUACUGCCGGGCUAGAGUCCGGAAGAGGCGAGUGGAAUUCCUGGUGUAGCGGUGGAAUGCGCAGAUAUCAGGAGGAACACCAACGGCGAAGGCAGCUCGCUAGGACGGUACUGACGCUAAGGCGCGAAAGCGUGGGGAGCGAACAGG
rnacentral:rRNA from 1 species